rnacentral:rRNA from 1 species
UGGGCAUAAUUCUUGAUAGAUCAUAAUGCCUGGAAUGGUUUAUGGUUAAAAUGAUUCGUCGCCAUAGGAUGGGACUGCGGCCUAUCAGCUUGUUGGUGAGGUAAUGGCCCACCAAGGCGAUUACAGGUACGGGCUCUGAGAGGAGAAGCCCGGAGAUGGGUACUGAGACACGGACCCAGGCCCUAUGGGGCGCAGCAGGCGAGAAAACUUUGCAAUGUGCGAAAGCACGACAAGGUUAAUCCGAGUGAUUUCUGCUAAAGAAAUCUUUUGCCAGUCAUAAAACCACUGGUGAAUAAGGGGUGGGCAAGUUCUGGUGUCAGCCGCCGCGGUAAAACCAGCACCUCAAGUGGUCAGGAUGAUUAUUGGGCCUAAAGCAUCCGUAGCCGGCUUUGUUAGUUUUCGGUUAAAUCCAUGUGCUCAACGCAUGGGCUGCCGAAAAUACUGCAUAGCUAGGGAGUGGGAGAGGUAGACGGUACUCAGUAGGAAGGGGUAAAAUCCUUUGAUCUAUUGAUGACCACCUGUGGCGAAGGCGGUCUACCAGAACACGUUCGACGGUGAGGGAUGAAAGCUGGGGGAGCAAACCGGAUUAGAUACCCGGGUAGUCCCAGCUGUAAACGAUGCAGA